CCGUAUAACUUCCCCAAACAAGAGACCAAAACUGCAAAUCAGUUCCAAUUGCUUCCCCCUAAUAAGUUUGUUCUUCCGACAUGUGAGUUUCACUCCCUAAUUACUCCAAAUCGCGUAUCUUUGAUUACUUCGAUCUUCAUCUCUGUUUCAAUCACAAAAACAGAUUAUAAUAUCACUUCAUCUCCGUACAAAACCUUAUUCCCAUCUGUUUUUUAUCCAUGUGUGAAUUUUUUUCCAUUGUAGGGUUGCAUAAUUUGUUUACACUUAUAGUCAUUUUUAAUGGAUUUGUUUUAACUCUACCGAUUGAUGCUAAUCAUAUGUAUGGUUGCUUCUGAUUUUGUGAUUUUGGUUCGGUUCAUCUGAAUCAGUAAUUUCAAGUGUUCAUUCCUUAUUAAUUUUACAGAGAUUGGAAAAUGGUAGAUAAUUAACUUCGAAUCAUUUCUACCAUAGAAAUAUACUUUUGCAAGCCUUGGUAAAGGUGUUUUCCAGGCAUUCUUAAAUGGUGGAGGAGUGGAAGCUGUGCAGCCAAAUCAAUGAUAACGGACGCUUCCUCUCGCAGCUUCAGAUCUCAUUUUUGUUGGUAAGAUAUAUGGCUUUAGCGGCUGAUAUACAAGGGCUCUACUUAAAUGAGAAUGACGUAAAUUUAAAUUAACUUAACUAGCAAAAUAUUUCUUAUCACUAAUCUAUAACACAGUUGCCUUUUUCUGGAGGAGACAAAGAAAGGCCGGGAUGGAGUCUUGGAAAGACAAAUAGUGGUCAGGAUGAAUUUUGAUCUCAUCCACCGUUCUUUGUGUCUUUAAGAAAAUCUUGAUCACUCAUUUUGGUCUGAUUCCAAAUUUGAUAAAAGUUGGAAACUGCCGGCAAUCAUGUGUCACGUCCUCCGUUUUUUCUCACUAUUCUCCCUACGGGUCUUUGAUACAGGUUGAUUCUAAAACUACCCUGACUUAUUCCCUCAACAAGUAGAUGAGUAUCAUGGACUUCAGAUAUGAAAACUGUUUCAGAAAUCUCCCUCAAUCUUUUGAUAGUUCGUCCCCACCAUUAACGACAUUUUUCAGAUAAUGUCUCUUCGUAUCUCCUUAGGAGUUGGAUUCAGAAAAGUGAAAGGGUGAUUUGGUUUUGGUUUUGCAGAAAUGUCUAUGGAUCCAGGGGUUUACGUUUAAGAAUCCAACAAAAAUUCACAACUGAAGUUAAAAGAGUUCCACUCGAAGUGUAGUUAAAAGAGUUCCGUAACAACUGAAGUCACUAUGGAAAUUAUUGGAUUGAAUGAUUUGAGUACUGUCAUAAAUCAACAGAUUUUUGCUGUGGCCAUCAAUUUAUUCUUUUUAAACCUCAAAUAAUUAUAGUGCAUCAAUCACUUAAUACUGAUAAGCAUUGUUUUUCACUUGGAUUCAGGUAUGCCUAUGUCUUUUGGUAUCUUGGGUCUCAAAGAAGGUAUACACCGGUAGUUACUUUUACUUGCAUCAAAUAACAUUUCUCUUUACACAUUGUUGAGUGUGAUUGUUGUAUUUGGACCCAAAGGUGGAGUCUAUGGAGUUCUUUGGUAGUGGUCAUCGAACUCUUAAAACUGCAGUUCCUACGCACUAAAGUAAUUUCUUGCAUUAUUUUGUUAAGGAAAACGUAUUCUUUUACAUCCACGUAAGUGUCCACAUAAAAUAUCUCUGCUUUUACUGAACAUUUUCUUCUGUAAAGGAUACAUUAACAACGAUAAAAUUCUUUUGAUGAAGAAUUGUUAGUGAUAUUCUUCUGUACCAUUCAUUUAACCAUUUCUAUGCAUGUUAUUAGCUUCUGUUGCGAAUGAAGUGGCACCAUUUCUUUGCCUGUGUUUUUUCUUAAUUUUUUUGGCGCCAAUGUUGAUUAUUCUUACCGAAAGUACUUAGACGAAGGAAUGACUUAUUUUCUUUUUUGUUUUUCAUUUUGGUUAUGCUUUAUCGUUUUUAUAGUUUGUCUGCUGCAUCAUAGUUUGGUGCCGUUUUUGCAGUUUCAAUACGUGGAGAGCUGUCACUUAAAAUUUGUUCAAAACUCUGCCAGGCGUACAAAUCCUAAGCGGGUGGUUACAAAUCCUAUCUUCCUAACUGUAGAAACCGUAAUUAGUCAGCAGUUUCAUAGAAAAAAAAAAUCGUCUCUCUACAUACUUUCCUGCACAAUAAUUCUUUUGCAUUCUUCAUUGUUGAAUGGCCAUAGUAGAGGGUUUCUGGCUUCUUUCUCUCUUUACCAUAAGUUUCACCACAAAUCGUCUCCCAAAAUCUAUAGCCCAUAUAGAGAGGUAGAGGGAGAGGGUUUGUGGCAUAAUCUUGCACAUCAUUAGCUGAGACUGAGGUUAGUUUGUUGAUGUGAAUUUUGCAGGUGAGAAUAGUGGGUAGAGAGAAAGAGGGGAUGCACCAACACCACGAAUAGAAGAAAGAAAUACAUUCAAAGUUCCAUGAUGAUGCUAAAGUUGGUGGCCUUGGUGUACUUAAUAAGUUGCAUGCAAUCAAAAUGUAGAAGUUGAGAUUCAUGGAAGAAUUGGGGUUAGCUAAUCAUGAAAUGCAGACCAAGGUUAUGGAUGGAACUCUUACAGUAACCCAUGGGAUGGUCGAGUGACUUUGGUGGCCGAGUUUUAAAAUUCCAGUAACUAUUGCAUUUUCAAAGAGAUAUCAAACAUUUUUGCAGGCAGUUUACAGGCUUCGUUUCUUCUUUUAAUUUGCAAACUUUCUCUGCCUUCCUUAUAAUCUUUCUCUAUUUUACUUUUCUUUGCUAUGUAAUGUUGGGUGUUUCGGUGCGUCCUGGAGGCCAGUGAUCUCCUCUUCCCAAGUGCAAUAAAAUUGGAGGGAGGAAAUAGUAUCAAUUACAAAGAAAACAACAAGACUAAGUGGUUUUCUAUUUGCUUUGUGUUUAUUUAUAUCUUUGGCUUUGGUGUCUUUCAAUCUGUACGUUGAUCGACUAACAUUGGUUCUCUUAUUUUCGGAGAUGCUAAUGAAUUUAGCUUCUUUUUUGUAUAUGAAUUGCAGGAUAUCAUGGUAAAAGGAUAGAGAUACAGACAGUGGGAAAGUGGGAAAUGAGAGUGUGGAGAAUGUAUGAACACCACAAUGUAGUAGAAAUAGAAAUAAGCAGAUACAUGCAAGAAUUCUUG